UACGUAGGGUGCAAGCGUUAAUCGGAAUACUGGGCGUAAAGCGUGCGCAGGCGGUUUUGUAAGUUUUGUCGUGAAAGCCCCGGGCUCAACCUGGGAAUUGCGAUGAAGACUGCAAGGCUUGAAUCUGGCAGAGGGGGGUAGAAUUCCACGUGUAGCAGUGAAAUGCGUAGAGAUGUGGAGGAACACCGAUGGCGAAGGCAGCCCCCUGGGUCAAGAUUGACGCUCAUGCACGAAAGCGUGGGGAGCAAACAGG
rnacentral:rRNA from 1 species